UACAGAGGUCCCAAGCGUUGUUCGGAUUCACUGGGCGUAAAGGGUGCGUAGGCGGGUCUUUAAGUCAGGGGUGAAAUCCUGGAGCUCAACUCCAGAACUGCCUUUGAUACUGAAGAUCUUGAGUUCGGGAGAGGUGAGUGGAACUGCGAGUGUAGAGGUGAAAUUCGUAGAUAUUCGCAAGAACACCAGUGGCGAAGGCGGCUCUCUGGACCGAUACUGACGCUGAGGCGCGAAAGCGUGGGGAGCAAACAGG
rnacentral:rRNA from 1 species